rnacentral:lncRNA from 1 species
UGCGGGUGCCAGCAGCCGGGAGAAACUGAAGUUAGAGAGCCCCCUCCUCAAUCCCCCAUUUCUUUUGGCUUUUUGGUUGCCUGGGUGUACAGAGGAACAAAUUUGUGGUGUGGAAGGAUUCCAGGCCAGUCAUCUAUCAUGCACAGUGAAUACUCACUAGGCGCUCAUCACACGCUCGGCGGCCUCACCCUCUCCAAGAGAGCUCUGGCGGCGGUCCAGGGGCUGCCCAAGGUAAGGUGCUGUCUAGAAAGAAUCACGCUUGAGAAUGACAGCUGUCUGCCCUUCAAUAAGAUCUAUGAGUCUGACUCUCUCACCAGGCCCUUUUGGGGCAGGAGAAUAACAGAUUUGACGGUAAGCCACCAAGAUGUUGGACUAUCUGCCGGGGACCAGAAAGCUUAUAUAGGUUUCUGCAGAGUAAGAUGGCCCCAUUCCUGACCAUCCAGCUAGAGAAAGUUCUAUAGAGGCUCAGCUAGCAAAGCGCUCAGGUGGGCUGACCGCCCUCCAAAGCUGGGAAGGCCACCGGAGAACUGCAAACAGGAGAUCUGCUGCCCUCUUGUGGACACCUGUGGUUCUGCAGGAGGGUAAUGGGACUUGCAGCUUGCAGAGGUUGUUGGCUGGCCCACUACACCUGCCCAUCUUGAACUCGAAGAAUGAGUAGCUGAGAAAGGUUAGCUUGACCAUCCUAUGCAGAUGAGAAAUCUCUCAGCAUUGGUUCAUGGUGGCCAUGCUUUUCUUCAAGAGGAACAAAAGUCUCACCACUGAGA